GGGGAUUUAGCUCACUGGUAGAGCACUUGCCUAGCAAGCACAAGGCCCUGGGUUCGGUCCCCAGCUCCA
rnacentral:tRNA from 1 species